AGUAGGAUGGCUGAGGAUAAGUGAAAGAUUGUAAAUCUUUUUAGGAGUUUUAACUCUUCUACUA
rnacentral:tRNA from 1 species